GGAAGGGCAAGCCAAUUGGAGAUGGCAGCGGAUUGCUAAUCCGUCGAACUGCGAAAGCGGUCUUGCGAGUUCGACUCUCGUUCCUUCCGC
rnacentral:tRNA from 4 species